rnacentral:lncRNA from 1 species
GGUAAGGAACUGAGGCCAUGUGAGCGAGGAACUGAGGCCACGUGAGUGAGGAACUGAGGCCAUGUGAGCGAGGAACUGAGGCCAUGUGAGCGAGGAACUGAGGCCAUGUGAGCGAGGAACUGAGGCCACGUGAGCGAGGAACUGAGGCCAUGUGAGCGAGGAACUGAGGCCAUGUGGUGAGGAACUGAGGCCAUGUGAGCGAGGAACUGAGGCCAUGUGGUGAGGAACUGAGGCCAUGUGAGUGAGGAACUGAGGCCAUGUGACGAGGAACUGAGGCCAUGUGAGCGAGGAACUGAGGCCAUGUGGUGAGGAACUGAGGCCAUGUGAGCGAGGAACUGAGGCCAUGUGAGUGAGGAACUGAGGCCAUGUGAGCGAGGAACUGAGGCCAUGUGAGCGAGCUUGGAAGUAAAUCCUCCAG